rnacentral:rRNA from 1 species
AGCAGUCGCCGCGGUAAUACGAAGGGGGCUAGCGUUACUCGGAAUUACUGGGCGUAAAGGGCGCGUAGGCGGCGCUCCAAGUUAGGCGUGAAAGUCCUGGGCUCAACCUGGGAACUGCGCUUAAGACUGGAGUGCUUGAGGAUGGAAGAGGGUUGUGGAAUUCCCAGUGUAGAGGUGAAAUUCGUAGAUAUUGGGAAGAACACCGGUGGCGAAGGCGGCAACUUGGUCCAUUACUGACGCUGAGGCGCGACAGCGUGGGGAGCAAACAGGAUUAGAUACCCCGGUAGUCCCUGUCUCUUAUAA